GACGAACAAAAUGUUGUGAACGUUCAGGAUUCAGAAGCUAAUCAAGGUGAUAGAAAUGUGAUCCGUCCAAGCAGUUUUCGGAUGCUCUUGAGGAAACCUACCCACACUGUCCACUACUAUUGGAGAAAAUUUGAUGAUGGCUUCAUGCGUCCUGUUUUUGGUGGACGGGGUUUUGUACCAUAUGUUCCAGGCUCUCCAAUCGAACAAAGUGUGCAUCAAUGGCAAGGAGAGGCCAAACACUAAGCAUAUAAUCGCUGGUGGCUCAUUCAAUCGGGUUUUGGCUUUCAUUUGUUAAUAUUAUCGAGUGUUUUUUCUGUGUGGAUGAUGGCGGUGUCUAAAUUAGCAUAGUUUGCACAAAUUUAUUCAUUGCAGUGGUAUUGGUACGUUUUUGUUUCCCUUCUGGGUAGUUGUUGACCCAAUAGUUUGUUUUUUGGGAAAUGCGAGCUUUUCCCUCCCCGACGAGGUUUUGGAACACCAAAUCGGUGUAUAUUUUUGUAAGCAUAAAUCAUUGUGUAUGACUUUCCAUAAAUUGUUGUCACCUUCACAUUUUUGAGCUAAAAUCAUAAUACAAAUACACUUUUCUGCGUCUAUGUGGAUUAUGAUGUUCUAUGCUGAGUUUUCUUUUGACAUUUUUGGGUAUUCGAGGAACUCUAUGGAUAAUAUCCAUUGCGCUGAACAAGAAGUAUAAGCUUAGAAGUCAUAAUCCGAGAAAUUUGUAAAAAAUUUGAAGCUCACAUUUUCUAUUAUUGAAGAUAUUAUGAUCCUUUUACAUUCAUUAUUGAAAAAUAUUGUUGAGAGCUAUAAAUAUUCGUAGUACAAAAGAAGGCACACAGCCACUAUCCCUCCACGAACAAAAUGUUGUGAACGUUCAGGAUUCAGAAGCUAAUCAAAGUGAUAGAAAUGUGAUCCGUCCAAGCAGUUUUCGGAUGCUCUUGAGGAAACCUACCCACACUGUCCACUACUAUUGGAGAAAAUUUGAUGAUGGCUUCAUGCGUCCUGUUUUUGGUGGACGGGGUUUUGUACCAUAUGUUCCAGGCUCUCCAAUCGAACAAAGUGUGCAUCAAUGGCAAGGAGAGGCCAAACACUAAGCAUAUAAUCGCUGGUGGCUCAUUCAAUCGGGUUUUGGCUUUCAUUUGUUAAUAUUAUCGAGUGUUUUUUCUGUGUGGAUGAUGGCGGUGUCUAAAUUAGCAUAGUUUGCACAAAUUUAUUCAUUGCAGUGGUAUUGGUACGUUUUUGUUUCUUCUCUGGGUAGUUGUUGACCCAAUAGUUUGUUUUUUGGGAAAUGCGAGCUUUUCCCUCCCCGACCGAGGUUUUGGAACACCAAAUCGGUGUAUAUUUUUGUAAGCAUAAAUCAUUGUGUAUGACUUUCCAUAAAUUGUUGUCACCUUCACAUUUUUGAGCUAAAAUCAUAAUACAAAUACACUUUUCUGCG
rnacentral:lncRNA from 1 species